GUCAUGGACUGAAAUUGAUCAGUUUUUGUUGCCAUAUGUGCAUCUUGAGUGGCAACAGAGACUGAUCAAUUCCAGUUCUUAGC
rnacentral:precursor_RNA from 1 species